GCUCUCGGGUGACGAGCGGCGGACGGGCUCGAGUAAUGUCUGGGAAACUGCCUGAUGGAGGGGGAUAACUACUGGAAACGGUAGCUAAUACCGCAUAACGUCGCAAGACCAAAGUGGGGGACCUUCGGGCCUCAUGCCAUCAGAUGUGCCCAGAUGGGAUUAGCUAGUAGGUGGGGUAACGGCUCACCUAGGCGACGAUCCCUAGCUGGUCUGAGAGGAUGACCAGCCACACUGGAACUGAGACACGGUCCAGACUCCUACGGGAGGCAGCAGUGGGGAAUAUUGCACAAUGGGCGCAAGCCUGAUGCAGCCAUGCCGCGUGUGUGAAGAAGGCCUUCGGGUUGUAAAGCACUUUCAGCGGGGAGGAAGGCGAUAAGGUUAAUAACCUUGUCGAUUGACGUUACCCGCAGAAGAAGCACCGGCUAACUCCGUGCCAGCAGCCGCGGUAAUACGGAGGGUGCAAGCGUUAAUCGGAAUUACUGGGCGUAAAGCGCACGCAGGCGGUCUGUCAAGUCGGAUG
rnacentral:rRNA from 1 species